rnacentral:rRNA from 1 species
UGAGGAAUAUUGCACAAUGGGCGCAAGCCUGAUGCAGCAACGCCGCGUGAGGGACGAAGGCCUUCGGGUCGUAAACCUCUUUUCUGGGGGACGAGUAAGGACGGUACCCCAGGAAUAAGUCUCGGCUAACUACGUGCCAGCAGCCGCGGUAAAACGUAGGAGGCGAGCGUUACCCGGAUUUACUGGGCGUAAAGCGUACGCAGGUGGCUUCGUUAGUCGGACAUGAAAGCUCCUGGCUUAACUGGGAGAGGUUGUUCGAUACUGCGGGGCUUGAGGUUGGGAGAGGGACGUGGAAUUCCCGGUGUAGGGGUGGAAUGCGUAGAUAUCGGGAGGAACACCAGUGGCGCAAGCGGCGUCCUGGCCCACACCUGACGCUGAGGUACGAAAGCGUGGGUAGCAAACAG